CAUUACACUGCAGAAUAAAUACGUUCAAUUUCUCGCCAAGAUUUGUUAGUAGCUAAUUUGUCCUUCGUAAGGAAUUCUUUACGCUCGUUGUAUGAAAAAGACCGGAAGUUGAAAUAGAAAGAGCAUUUUGAAUGGUGUUUUUCAAAGAGCUUUCACAACCUGUGGGCCACAAGAAUAAAACCUGAAGUAUGAUGAAGCACUUAAGCUCCACGUGAUGAAAGCAUGUGGGAUAAACCAUUGUCUAUUCAUGCAGUUCCAGUUCAUCUACCACUUCUCCCUUCUUUGAGAACGGGAAAACAAAGAGGUAAUAUCCUUGAAGAAACUCUACAACUACUUAGGAGGAAGGACAACCAAGGAAAAUACACAAAUGACAAUUCCAAUCUUUUAUUGUGCUAAACGUAAAUAAGAGCAAAUUGAGACAAA